AUUGAACGCUGGCGGCAUGCCUUACACAUGCAAGUCGAACGGCAGCACGGGGGCAACCCUGGUGGCGAGUGGCGAACGGGUGAGUAAAGCAUCGGAACGUGCCCGGUAGUGGGGGAUAGCCCGGCGAAAGCCGGAUUAAUACCGCAUACGACCUGAGGGUGAAAGCGGGGGGACCGCAAGGCCUCGCGCUAUCGGAGCGGCCGAUGUCAGAUUAGGUAGUUGGUGGGGUAAAGGCCUACCAAGCCUGCGAUCUGUAGCUGGUCUGAGAGGACGACCAGCCACACUGGGACUGAGACACGGCCCAGACUCCUACGGGAGGCAGCAGUGGGGAAUUUUGGACAAUGGGCGCAAGCCUGAUCCAGCCAUGCCGCGUGCGGGAAGAAGGCCUUCGGUUGUAACCGCUUUGUCAGGGAAGAAAAGACUCUGGGUUAAGUACCCUGGGGUGGCUGACGGUACCUGAAGAAUAAGCACCGGCUAACUACGUGCCAGCAGCCGCGGUAAU
rnacentral:rRNA from 1 species